GAUGAACGCUGGCGGCGUGCUUAACACAUGCAAGUCGAACGGAAAGGCUCCUGCUUGCAGGGGUACUCGAGUGGCGAACGGGUGAGUAACACGUGGGUGAUCUGCCCUGCACUUCGGGAUAAGCCUGGGAAACUGGGUCUAAUACCGGAUAGGACGAUGGUUUGGAUGCCAUUGUGGAAAGUUUUUUCGGUGUGGGAUGAGCUCGCGGCCUAUCAGCUUGUUGGUGGGGUAAUGGCCUACCAAGGCGUCGACGGGUAGCCGGCCUGAGAGGGUGUACGGCCACAUUGGGACUGAGAUACGGCCCAGACUCCUACGGGAGGCAGCAGUGGGGAAUAUUGCACAAUGGGCGCAAGCCUGAUGCAGCGACGCCGCGUGGGGGAUGACGGCCUUCGGGUUGUAAACUCCUUUCGCUAGGGACGAAGCGCAAGUGACGGUA
rnacentral:rRNA from 1 species